AACGACCAAGGUAAGGUUGGAAUUUUACACUAAUAAAAAUCACUCUUCCCUUGUUCUAGAACCAUCCGCAAUUCAACAUAGCACUACUUCUAUCAAACAAAAACUCAAAAAGUGUGUUUCUCCUGCUGCUUCCCACCACCACCGUCCUCCGCCGCAACCACCGCAACCACCACAGUCGUCCUCCUCUGAUAAAAACUCCGGCAAGUGGCGUAGCAUCUUCAGUUUUCUAAUGUCUACGUGUUUGCUUUAAUCAGGGGAGCAAACAAUCGAAAAGAAUAUAAAAGAGUGGCUUUUGGAGUUCAAGCAGAAAGAAGAUAAUGGCAACGACAACAAAGGAGAUGUUUUUGUGAUGUGAGAAUACCUUAUAUCGAGAGAUAGUGUUAUUUGAAGUUCAAGAGAAAUAACG